GAUCAUGGCUCAGAACGAACGCUGGCGGCAGGUCUUAGGCAUGCAAGUCGAACGGAUGACAAGAGAGCUUGCUCUCUUGAAGUCAGUGGCGCACGAGUGAGUAACGCGUGGGAAACUGCCCUUCACUGGGGAAUAACGUUUGGAAACGAACGCUAAUACCGCAUACGCCCGCAAGGGGAAAGAUUUAUCGGUGAUGGAUGUGCCCGCGUUGGAUUAGCCAGUUGGUGGGGUAAUGGCCUACCAAAGCAAUGAUCCAUAGCUGGUCUGAGAGGACGAUCAGCCACGCUGGAACUGAGACACGGUCCAGACUCCUACGGGAGGCAGCAGCUAAGAAUAUUGGGCAAUGGAGGAAACUCUGACCCAGCCAAUGCCGCGUGAAUGAAGAAGGCCUUCGGGUUGUAAAGUUCUUUUAGUCAUGAAGAUGAUGACAGUAGUGACAGAAAAAGCACCGGCUAACUUCGUGCCAGCCGCUGC
rnacentral:rRNA from 1 species